AUACGUAGGGGGCAGGCGUUGCCCGGAAUUACUGGGGGUAAGGGGCGCGCAGGCGGCUUGUAUAGUCAGAAGUGAAAGUUUGCAGCUUAACUGUAACAGUGCUUUUGAUACUGCCUGGCUUGAGUCUCGGAGGGGUAAGCGGAAUUCCUAGUGUAGCGGUAAAAUGCGUAGAGAUUAGGAAGAGCACAGGCGGCGAAGCCGGCCUACUGGAGGAAUACUGACGCGCAUGCACGAAGGCGGGGGAAGCAAACAGGAUUAGAUACCCUGGUCGUCCACGCCGUAAACCAUGAAUACUAGCUGUUGGGGCAACUCAGUAGCGCAGUUAACACAUUAAGUAUUCCGCCUGGGGAGUACGCUCGCAAGUGUAAAACUUAAAGGAAUUGACGGGG
rnacentral:rRNA from 1 species